GACGAACGCUGGCGGCGUGCUUAACACAUGCAAGUCGAACGGAAAGGCCCUGCUUUUGUGGGGUGCUCGAGUGGCGAACGGGUGAGUAACACGUGAGUAACCUGCCCUUGACUUUGGGAUAACUUCAGGAAACUGGGGCUAAUACCGGAUAGGAGCUCCUGCUGCUUGGUGGGGGUUGGAAAGUUUCGGCGGUUGGGGAUGGACUCGCGGCUUAUCAGCUUGUUGGUGGGGUAGUGGCUUACCAAGGCUUUGACGGGUAGCCGGCCUGUGAGGGUGACCGGGCACAUUGGGAAUGAGAUACGGCCCAGACUCCAAGGGGAGGGAGCAGUGGGGAAUAUUGCACAAUGGGCGGAAGCCUGAUGCAGCAACGCCGCGUGCGGGAUGACGGCCUUCGGGUUGUAAACCGCUUUCGCCUGUGACGAAGCGUGAGUGACGGUAAUGGGUAAAGAAGCACCGGCUAACUACGUG
rnacentral:rRNA from 1 species